rnacentral:tRNA from 1 species
AAGAAAUUAGUUUAUAUAAAACAUUAACUUGUCAAGUUAAAAAUAUUAAUUAUAAUACUUCUUA